rnacentral:rRNA from 1 species
CAGCCGCCGCGGGAAUACGGAGGGGGCUAGCGUUGUUCGGAAUUACUGGGCGUAAAGCGCACGUAGGCUGCUUUGUAAGUUAGAGGUGAAAGCCUGGUGCUCAACACCAGAACUGCCUUUAAGACUGCAGAGCUAGAACGUCGGAGAGGUGAGUGGAAUUCCGAGUGUAGAGGUGGAAUUCGUAGAUAUUCGGAAGAACACCAGUGGCGAAGGCGGCUCACUGGACGACUGUUGACGCUGAGGUGCGAAAGCGUGGGGAGCAAACAGGAUUAGAUACCCGCGUAGUCCCUGUCUCUUAUAC